UACGUAGGGUGCGAGCGUUGUCCGGAAUUAUUGGGCGUAAAGGGCUCGUAGGCGGUUUUGUAAGUCUGUCGUGAAAGCCCCGGGCUUAACCUGGGAAUUGCGAUGGAGACUGCAAGGCUUGAAUCUGGCAGAGGGGGGUAGAAUUCCACGUGUAGCAGUGAAAUGCGUAGAGAUGUGGAGGAACACCGAUGGCGAAGGCAGCCCCCUGGGUCAAGAUUGACGCUCAUGCACGAAAGCGUGGGGAGCAAACAGG
rnacentral:rRNA from 1 species